UAAAUUUUAAAUCUUUAGUAUAUUUUAUUUAUUUUUCGUUGAGAAAAUAAUUCUUUUUUAAUGUAAUAUGGCUGUUACAUUAUCAGAAAUAGCAAAAUUGUUUGAAGGCAAUAAAAAAGAAUUCGAAUUGAUGUUAAAACAAUAGGAAAAAGUUUUUAUCGACAUUAAAACUUUAAAGUAUUUAAUGGCAGAUUAGAAAAAGUUGAAAAAGGUAUAGAAGAAUUGAAGCAUAGUUUAAAUUUUCAUGAAGAACUAAUCGAUGAAAAAGUUAUGAAAGCAAAUGUUUUCAGUAAAGAAGACAAUUCAGAAAUUACACGCAUACAAAAAAAGUUAAGGGAGAUAGAAGAUCGAUCGAGACGUAAUAAUUUAAGAGUGGAUGGAAUUAAUGAAAAAGAAGGUGAAAGCUGGGAGGAAAGCGAACUUAAGAACACACUGCAUUGUCUUCAUUUUUUUGUCUCUCAAGACUCUUGUAGGUGCUUCAAUUAAAGAAGGUUUAUCAAAAUCAAAUAUAUCACCAAGUAAAUCAAGUAUUUCACCAAGUAAAUCAAAUAUAUCACCAAGUAAAUCAAAUAUAUCACCAAGUAAAUCAAGUAUUUCACUAAGUAAAUCAAUUUUUAUUAAGCAAGAUCAACUAACAGGUCCAGUAAAAUCAAGUAAAAUGCCAGAAUUUUCGAAAACAAUGCCAAAACUUUUGCUAAGUCAUUCAAAAUUAACCGAACCAAUUGGUCCAGCGAAAAUGAGCAAGAUGCCAGAUUUUUCAAAAUCAAUGCCAAAAGUCAUGCCAAGUCAAACAAAAUUUGUUCCACUUAAUUCAAAACCAACUGAACCAAUAGGUCCAGCAAAAAUUUUUCAAAAUCAAUGCCAAAAAUCAUGCCAAGUCAAACAAAAUUUAUUUCAUUUAAUUCAAAACCAACUGAACCAAUUGGUCCUUCUAAAGUAAUUCAUUCAGCCAUUUUAAAGUCAUCUGAACCAACAGGUCCAGGAAAGUCAAUAAAACUAUCAGCUUCAUAUAAAGCAUGAACUCAAUCAAUUUUCGAUAAAGUUUGUAUAUAUUUUGCGCGUUGGAACACAAUUGUAAUCUGGUUGGCUGGCUAAAUUGAUCGUUUUAAUGUUUUAUUGUAAAUGUUCUAUUAUUUGUUUUAGAAAAAUUAUUUAUCGUU
rnacentral:misc_RNA from 1 species